UACGAAGGGGGCGAGCGUUGUUCGGAAUUACUGGGCGUAAAGAGCUCGUAGGCGGCUUGUUGCGUCGACUGUGAAAACCCGCGGCUUAACCGCGGGCUUGCAGUUGAUACGGGCAGGCUAGAGUUCGGUAGGGGAGACUGGAAUUCCUGGUGUAGCGGUGAAAUGCGCAGAUAUCAGGAGGAACACCGGUGGCGAAGGCGGGUCUCUGGGCCGAUACUGACGCUGAGGAGCGAAAGCGUGGGGAGCGAACAGG
rnacentral:rRNA from 1 species